AUUGAACGCUGGCGGCAUGCUUUACACAUGCAAGUCGAACGGCAGCGCGGGCUUCGGCCUGGCGGCGGGUGGCGAACGGGUGAGUAAUGCACCGGAACGUGCCCAGUAGUGGGGGAUAGCCCGGCGAAAGCCGGAUUAAUACCGCAAACGACCUGAGGUUGAAAGCGGGGGACCGAAAGGCCUCGCGCUUUUGGAGCGGCCGAUGUGGGAUUAGCUAGUUGGUGGGGUAAAGGCUUACCAAGGCGACGAUCCGUAGCUGGUCUGAGAGGACGACCAGCCACACUGGAGAUAGGACACGGCCCAGACUCCGACGGGAGGCAGCAGUGGGAAAUUUUGGACAAUGGGGGCAACCCUGAUCCAGCCAUGCCGCGUGCGGGAAGAAGGCCUUCGGGUUGUAAACCGUUUUUGUUCGGGAAGAAAUCCUCUGGGCUAAUACCCCGGGGGAAUGACGGUACCGGAAGAAUAGGCACCGGCUAACUACGU
rnacentral:rRNA from 1 species